AAAGCCAUAGCCUCACCCCUCGCCAGCUCAAAGAUGCCCUUAGAGCUAUUGCUAGCCCCUCUGCCUUAUCACCUCCCCCAGGACCCCGCCCAUAAGCAACAAGCUGCGUCUCCACAUCUAAGCAGAAAUCGAGACAAGAGGAGUUUAUAAAUCUUGUCUUCACCGAGGUAUGAACUCUGUCCAGACUUUGCGCAUUCUCGUGCUUAGUCCCUUCCGAGUCUGGGAUAUCCCACCGAGACCAAAAACGCUGUUCCUAAAAGACCCAAGUAAACUCCGCCUCCAGGGAACGGAAUUGCCUUGGAACUAUUCUUCAGACUCCGCCCCUUCACUGAGCUCAGGCCGGCAGAAGAACUACCCCCAGGCAUCUGACCACUCAGCUCUUCGGUAUUUCUUGAAACCCUGUCAUGCAUCAGAAAAAGUGGCCAGAGACAGCAGGAAGAAUCCGUACUGAAGUGCAGACUUAAGGGUUUUGGAAAGUCGUUGUGCUGGAAGGUGUUGGCUGGGGCAAACUUGUGAAGGAGCGGUCUCCUGAAGUGGACACAGGUGAGAGCCUAAGGCAGACUCGUGAAGGAACGGUUAUCUGAAGCAGACACAGGUGAAAGGAUGUUCUGUUAAAGCAAGCGCGUGAGAGGACACGUGAUGAAGGAGUCUUCACUAACAACAGGCAUGCAUUGGCCCGCCUUACAUUGCUUGGUUGAGCUUCACUUGUUGAGCCUCCAUAGAGAGAAACAUGCCAAAAAACCUUCUGGUGCUGUGCUGCAGGCUCUUGCUGGUUCUUUGGACUCGGACUGAUUGGCAGAGUGAUGUCAGCUGAGACAGACAAACAUGGUGAGGCAAGACACAUGGAGGACACUUGAUGAUAAAUAGGACUUGAUGGACAGUGGUGGAGGCUGGACUAAGCUUGCUUAUAGAGCUAGUUGUGCAACGCUUGUGGGUCUCAUGUCUUCAGUGAUCGUCACUCUGCUGAGAGAGGCACAGCUGAGUACUCCUCCUGCUUCCCCUACUGACUUACACCGAGGCUCACGCCUGGCUAUCUCUGCUAGGUCGUGUCACCGCUGUUGCUAACCCGACUCUACCAAACUGGUGUAUCUGUGAAGUGUUUCAAGUGGAUCUAGCUGCCACUGUCUUCUAGCCUGUGAACUCAAUUGCUGAUUUCCAGACAACAUAGACUGGAGUCCCUCCAAAGAACCUUUCUAAACAGGUCCACUCCCCACCAUACCCUUUCUUUCCCACUACCUCUGGUGGGUGGUGGGCUAAAGGGGAAGUUAAAGCAUUUAAGAACCAUCAUUAAAAAUGAGGUUUGAAAAAGUUAAAGUUAUACCCUAAAGCAAGACCACUCUGGGCACUGGUGGGUGUCUGUCUUAGUUAGGGUUUUUGUUUCUGUAAUAAAACACCUUCACCAAAA